UUGUGUGUGAUGGCGUGCCUUUUGAAGAAUGAGCCUGCGAGUCAGCGGCAUGUCGCGAGGUUAACCCGUUUGUGUGGGGUAGUCGUAGCGAAAGCGAAUCCGAAUAGGGUGGCAAGUGGCAUGUCCUGGACCCGAAGCGGGGUGAUCUACCCAUGGCCAGUGUGAAGCAGCUGUAAGAGGUUGUGGAGGCGCGAACCCACUUAGGUUGAAAACUGAGGGGAUGAGCUGUGGGUAGGGGUGAAAGGCCAAUCAAACUCCGUGAUAGCUGGUUCUCCCCGAAAUGCAUUUAGGUGCAGCGUGAUGUGAGCUUGCCGGAGGUAGAGCUACUGGUUGGUUGAGCGGGACUAUCAUCUUAGCGACGUCAGCCAAACUCCGAAUACCGGUUAUAGUGGUGCAUUGCAGUGAGACUGUGGGGGAUAAGCUUCAUAGUCGAGAGGGAAACAGCCCAGAUCGCCGGUUAAGGCCCCUAAGGGUGUGCUAAGUGGAAAAGGAUGUGGGAUCGCGAAGACAGCCAGGAGGUUGGCUUAGAAGCAGCCAUCCUUGAAAGAGUGCGUAAUAGCUCACUGGUCGAGUGGUUCCGCGCCGACAAUUCAGUGGGGCUCAAGCACACCGCCGAAGCCGCGGCAAACAAUUUUGUUGUUUGGGUAGGGGAGCGUCGUGUGUGGGGUGAAGCCGUAUCGGAAGGAGCGGUGGACUGCAUGCGAGUGAGAAUGCAGGCAUGAGUAACGAAUGGCAAGUGAGAAUCUUGCCCGCCGGAUGACUAAGGGUUCCUGGGUCAAGUUCGUCUUCCCAGGGUGAGUCGGGUCCUAAGGCGAGGCCGACAGGCGUAGUCGAUGGUUAACGGGUUGAUAUUCCCGUACCCGUAUGUGCGCGCCCAGUAUCGAAGCGGUGAGACUAACCACCCUGAUCUGCCGAUCGUUGCCAUCCCUUCGGGGAUGGUUGGUUGGUGGUGAUGCGUGGGGCCUGAUCCGUUGUAGGUCAGUGAUGGGGUGACGCAGUGAGGUAGCUAAGCCGCUUAUUGGAUUGCGGUGCAAGCGUGUGGCACGACAACAUUGGUCAAAUCCGGUUGUCAUCAAGUGUGAGGCGUGAUGCGUAGCCCGAAUCGGGUGAUGUUGGUGAUCCUGUACUGCCGAGAAAAGCCUCUAGCGAUGUGCAUGUACGGCCCGUACCCAUAACCGACACAGGUGGUCAGGUAGAAAAUACUAAGGCGAGCGGGUGAACUGUGGUUAAGGAACUCGGCAAAAUGCCCCCGUAACUUCGGGAGAAGGGGGACCACAACCGGUGACACACAUUCGUGUUGAGCUGGUUGGGGUCGCAGAGAAGAGAGGGGAGCGACUGUUUAUCAAAAACACAGGUCCGUGCGAAGACGGUUAAGUUGAUGUAUACGGACUGACGCCUGCCCGGUGCUGGAAGGUUAAGAGGACCCGUUAGGACGUUGUCCGAAGCGGAGAAUUUAAGCCCCAGUAAACGGCGGUGGUAACUAUAACCAUCCUAAGGUAGCGAAAUUCCUUGUCGGGUAAGUUCCGACCUGCACGAAUGGCGUAACGACUCCCCUGCUGUCUCAACCACAGGCCCGGUGAAAUUGCAGUACGAGUAAAGAUGCUCGUUUCGCGCGGCAGGACGAAAAGACCCCGGGACCUUCACUAUAGCUUGGUAUUGGCAUUCGGUGCGGUUUGUGUAGGAUAGGUGGGAGACUUGGAAGCAUGCACGCCAGUGUGUGUGGAGUCGUUGUUGAAAUACCACUCUGACCGUAGUGGAUAUCUAACCUUGGCCCAUGAUCUGGGUUGGGGACAGUGCCUGGUGGGUAGUUUAACUGGGGCGGUUGCCUCCCAAAAUGUAACGGAGGCGCCCAAAGGUUCCCUCAGCCUGGUUGGCAAUCAGGUGUGUAGAGUGUAAGUGCACAAGGGAGCUUGACUGCGAGACUUGCAAGUCGAGCAGGGACGAAAGUCGGGACUAGUGAUCCGGCACCUACUUGUGGAUGUGGUGUCGCUCAACGGAUAAAAGGUACCCCGGGGAUAACAGGCUGAUCUUCCCCAAGAGUCCAUAUCGACGGGAUGGUUUGGCACCUCGAUGUCGGCUCGUCGCAUCCUGGGGCUGGAGUAGGUCCCAAGGGUUGGGCUGUUCGCCCAUUAAAGCGGCACGCGAGCUGGGUUCAGAACGUCGUGAGACAGUUCGGUCUCUAUCCGCCGCGCGCGUUGAAACUUGAAGAAGGCUGUCCCUAGUACGAGAGGACCGGGACGGACGUACCUCUAGUGUGCCAGUUGUUCCGCCAGGAGCACGGCUGGUUGGCUACGUACGGGAGGGAUAACCGCUGAAAGCAUCUAAGCGGGAAGCCUGUUUUAAGAUGAGGUUUCAUUUGAGGUUCCCAGGAGACUACUGGGUUGAUAGGCCGGACCUGGAAGCACAGCAAUGUGUGGAGGCGACCGGUACUAAUACACCAAUAAACACCA
rnacentral:rRNA from 1 species